rnacentral:ncRNA from 1 species
CAACCUCAACUCAUAUGGGACUACCCCCUGAAUUUAAGCAUAUUAAUUAGGGGAGGAAAAGAAACUAACAAGGAUUUUCUUAGUAGCGGCGAGCGAAAAGAAAUCAGUUCAGCACUAAGUCACUUUGUCUAUAUGGCAAAUGUGAGAUGCAGUGUAUGGAGCGUCAAUAUUCUAGUAUGAGAAAUUAACGAUUUAAGUCCUUCUUAAAUGAGGCCAUUUACCCAUAGAGGGUGCCAGGCCCGUAUAACGUUAAUGAUUACUAGAUGAUGUUUCCAAAGAGUCGUGUUGCUUGAUAGUGCAGCACUAAGUGGGUGGU